GGCAGGCCUAACAACAUGCAAGUCGAGGCGGAAACCGAAAGAAGUAGCUUGCUACUCUGGCGUCGAAGCGGCGGGACGGGGUGAAGUAAUGCUUGGGAACCAUGCCCUUGAGGGUGGGGGGACAAACAAGUUGGAAACCGACUGCUAAUACCGGCAUAAAUGUUUUACGGACCAAAGGGGGCUUCGGCUCUCGCCUUUAGAUUGGCCCAAGUGGGAUUAGCUAGUUGGUGAGGUAAUGGCUCACCAAGGCGACGAUCCCUAGCUGGUUUGAGAGGAUGAUCAGCCACACUGGGACUGAGACACGGCCCAGACUCCUACGGGAGGCAGCAGUGGGGAAUAUUGCACAAUGGGCGCAAGCCUGAUGCAGCCAUGCCGCGUGUGUGAAGAAGGCCUUCGGGUUGUAAAAGCACUUUCAGUCAGGAGGAAAGGUUAGUAGUUAAUACCUGCUAGCUGUGACGUUACUGACAGAAGAAGCACCGGCUAACUCCGUGCCAGCAGCCGCGGUAAUACGGAGGGUGCGAGCGUUAAUCGGAAUUACUGGGCGUAAAGCGUACGCAGGCGGUUUGUUAAGCGAGAUGUGAAAGCCCCGGGCUCAACCUGGGAACUGCAUUUCGAACUGGCAAACUAGAGUGUGAUAGAGGGUGGUAGAAUUUCAGGUGUAGCGGUGAAAUGCGUAGAGAUCUGAAGGAAUACCGAUGGCGAAGGCAGCCACCUGGGUCAACACUGACGCUCAUGUACGAAAGCGUGGGGAGCAAACAGGAUUAGAUACCCUGGUAGUCCACGCCGUAAACGAUGUCUACUAGAAGCUCGGAGCCUCGGUUCUGUUUUUCAAAGCUAACGCAUUAAGUAGACCGCCUGGGGAGUACGGCCGCAAGGUUAAAACUCAAAUGAAUUGACGGGGGCCCGCACAAGCGGUGGAGCAUGUGGUUUAAUUCGAUGCAACGCGAAGGAACCUUACCUACACCUUGACAUACCAGAAGAACUUACCAAGAAGAUGGUUUGGUUGCCCUUCCGGGAACUUCUGAUUACAGGUGGCUGGCAUGGCUGGUCG
rnacentral:rRNA from 1 species